rnacentral:misc_RNA from 1 species
GAUGAAGAACGUAGUGAAAUGCGAUAAGUAGUGUGAAUUGCAGAAUUCAGUGAAUCAUCGAAUCUUUGAACGCACAUUGCGCCCUUUGGUAUUCCAAAGGGCAUGCCUGUUCGAGCGUCAUUUGUACCCUCAAGCUUUGCUUGGUGUUGGGCGUCUUGUCUCUAGCUUUGCUGGAGACUCGCCUUAAAGUAAUUGGCAGCCGGCCUACUGGUUUCGGAGCGCAGCACAAGUCGCACUCUCUAUCAGCAAAGGUCUAGCAUCCAUUAAGCCUUUUUUUCAUCUUUUGACCUCGGAUCAGGUAGGGAUACCCGCUGAACUUAAGCAUAUCAAUAAGCGGAGGA